UAGGGAAUCUUCCACAAUGGACGCAAGUCUGAUGGAGCAACGCCGCGUGAGUGAAGAAGGUUUUCGGACCGUAAAGCUCUGUUGUUGGUGAAGAAGGAUAGAGGUAGUAACUGGCCUUUAUUUGACGGUAAUCAACCAGAAAGUCACGGCUAACUACGUGCCAGCAGCCGCGGUAAUACGUAGGUGGCAAGCGUUGUCCGGAUUUAUUGGGCGUAAAGCGAGCGCAGGCGGAAGAAUAAGUCUGAUGUGAAAGCCCUCGGCUUAACCGAGGAAUUGCAUCGGAAACUGUUUUCUUGAGUGCAGAAGAGGAGAGUAGAACUCCAUGUGUAGCGGUGGAAUGCGUAGAUAUAUGGAAGAAUACCAGUGGCGAAGGCGGCUCUCUGGUCUGCAACUGACGCUGAGGCUCGAAAGCAUGGGUAGCGAACAGGAUUAGAUACCCUGGUAGUCCAUGCCGUAAACGAUGAGUGCUAAGUGUUGGGAGGCUUCCGCCUCUCAGUGCUGCAGCUAACGCAUUAAGCACUCCGCCUGGGGGAGUACGACCGCAAAGGUUGAAAC
rnacentral:rRNA from 1 species